rnacentral:rRNA from 1 species
GGACUACAGGGGUAUCUAAUCCUGUUUGCUCCCCACGCUUUCGCACCUCAGUGUCAGUAUCGGACCAGUGAGCCGCCUUCGCCACCGGUGUUCUUCCAAAUAUCUACGAAUUUCACCUCUACACUUGGAAUUCCACUCACCUCUUCCGAACUCAAGACAGCCAGUAUGAAAGGCAGUUCCGAGGUUGAGCCUCGGGAUUUCACCCCUCACUUAACUAUCCACCUACGUGCGCUUUACGCCCAGUAAAUCCGAACAACGCUAGCCCCCUUCGUAUUACCGCGGCUGCUGGCAC